rnacentral:rRNA from 1 species
UAAUACAUGCAAGUCGAACGAAUCUCUUUUAGAGAUGAGUGGCGAACGGGUGAGUAAUACAUAGGUAACCUGCCCCUGUGCGGGGGAUAACAGGAGGAAACUCCUGCUAAUACCGCAUAGCCAUGAGCACCGCAUGGAGCUCAUGCCAAAUAUCCUUUCGGGGAUAGCGCAGGGAUGGACCUAAGGCGCAUUAGCUGGUUGGCGGGGCAACGGCCCACCAAGGCAACGAUGCGUAGCCGGCCUGAGAGGGCGGACGGACACAUUGGGACUGAGACACGGCCCAGACUCCUACGGGAGGCAGCAGUAGGGAAUUUUCGGCAAUGGGGGAAACCCUGACCGAGCAACGCCGCGUGAGCGAAGAAGGCCUUCGGGUCGUAAAGCUCUGUUGUAAAGGAAGAACGGCGCAUACAGGAAAUGGUAUGCGAGUGACGGUACUUUACCAGAAAGCCACGGCUAACUACGUGCCAGCAGCCGCGGUAAUACGUAGGUGGCGAGCGUUAUCCGGAAUCAUUGGGCGUAAAGAGGGAGCAGGCGGCCGCAAGGGUCUGUGGUGAAAGCCCGAAGCUAAACUUCGGUAAGCCAUGGAAACCGGGCGGCUAGAGUGCGGAAGAGGAUCGUGGAAUUCCAUGUGUAGCGGUGAAAUGCGUAGAUAUAUGGAGGAACACCAGUGGCGAAGGCGACGGUCUGGGCCGCAACUGACGCUCAUUCCCGAAAGCGUGGGGAGCAAAUAGGAUUAGAUACCCUAGUAGUCCACGCCGUAAACGAUGGUCACUAAGUGUCGGGGGUCAAACCCCGGUGCUGCAGUCAACGCAAUAAGUGACCCGCCUGAGUAGUACGUUCGCAAGAAUGCAAA